rnacentral:rRNA from 1 species
GACGAACGCUGGCGGCGUGCUUAACACAUGCAAGUCGAACGGUGAUGGCAGGGCUUGCCUUGUCUGAUCAGUGGCGAACGGGUGAGUAACACGUGAGUAACCUGCCCCAGACUCUGGGAUAACCCCGGGAAACCGGAGCUAAUACCGGAUAUGACGCCGAGCCGCAUGGCUACGGUGUGGAAAGUUUUUCGGUCUGGGAUGGGCUCGCGGCCUAUCAGCUUGUUGGUGAGGUAGUGGCUCACCAAGGCGACGACGGGUAGCCGGCCUGAGAGGGCGACCGGCCACACUGGGACUGAGACACGGCCCAGACUCCUACGGGAGGCAGCAGUGGGGAAUAUUGCACAAUGGGCGAAAGCCUGAUGCAGCGACGCCGCGUGAGGGAUGACGGCCUUCGGGUUGUAAACCUCUUUCAGCGGGGAAGAAGCGCAAGUGACGGUACCUGCAGAAGAAGCACCGGCUAACUACGUGCCAGCAGCCGCAGUAAGAC